AGUCAUUUUUGUUGUGACAAACACACCUUUAGUUUAUGUCCUUCCUGUCAUGUCCUGUCACUUGUCAGUUGUUAUCGUGUCACAAAACAAAAUGAUAAAGAAAAUAAACUAAACAAGACAACAUUUAUAAGAAAAUAAGUAAGACAAGAAAAAUAAACUGAAAACAAAAUUGUAAGAUGGAGUUUGAGGUAUUUUUAUUCAUUGAGUUUAGGAGAAAAUAAGAAAAAGAAAGUGUGUAGUAGUACUGGUAUACCGGCAUAACUUAAAAACUAGCACCUGGACUGCAAUAAUUUUCAUAGAAUACCUUAUGCACAGUAUCGUGAGCAACUAUUGAUGAACCUGUGAAAGAAGUUUACUUAUGUGCUUUUGGUAUAACAAUUAUGUUCCUGUUAUUUCUUUCAGCAAAGAAAAAAUACCAUUGCAAUUGAAAGCUGUUGCGUAUACCUCAGAUCAGGAAAAUGUGAAUACAAAAAGAACAUGUUCAACUAAUUUGUCUUCCUCAGUCAGAAGACAUAAAAGUUUGCAAAUUAUUUGUUAAGUGGUUUUGUUUACUUAAAAUAUAAUCAGGAAAAUAUGGUAUUUUCAAAAACAUACAUCCUGUGUAAUAUUCUAGCUUUAAUCAUCAGUUAUAAAUGGUACUUACAUUAAACAACAGAUUAUAAUUAAAUAUUUUAAAUUCCUACUGUAAAUUAUUCUAUUAAAACAAAAAAGUAUAAAAGUAAAAAAAUACUGUAUUAAUCCUUUCACUGCUACAUUUUGCUGGAAGACAUGCCCAGAAGCUGAGUUCCCACUGGCAAUAAACGUGAGGAUAUGUAUGUGUGUGUAUGGGCAGUGAAAGGGUUAAAAUACAAGCUACUGAUUGUCUUUCCAUAUAUUAUGGCCUAGGAUUUUUUCGGAUGGUAUGAAUUUUAGGCAGCCGCUAUUCUUCUCAACUCCUCCUUUGUUGCAAAAAUAGCCUUAGCAGUUGAAGAGUUUAAUAAAUUCCGUUUGUCACUUUUUACGUUAAACAAAUCACUAAAUAUGCGUUCUACGCUGGCAUUAGAGAAUGGUAAAACAAAAAGUAGCUGUAGAGUCUUUUCUAAAUUAGGAAAUAAAAAAGCAUUAGCAUCAUUUUUUAAAUUAAAUAUUUGAGACCAAUAUUGCUCACAGUCAUCUGAAUUUAAAUUUAAUUUUUCAAAGUCUAAAAGAGCAUGUCUUCUCCAUUCAUUGUCUAACUCCUGAAUAUUAGCAUAUUCUUUUAAAAUAGGGAAUUGAUCAGUUACACAUUUUAAUGAUUUUAUUUCAAAGCUUUGUGCAAUUUUGGGAUCCAGUAUUGAAAUUAUUUUAUAGAUAGGGUCUUUAAAGGUGAAUCGAUUUUUAAUAUUACUAACUAAUUCUAUAUAUGUAAAAUGCUAAAAUACUUUUAAAAAAAAUUAUCAAAUUCUUGUUGGUUCAAAUCUGGCUUUUUUUUUAAUGUAGCUUGCAAGACUUUUUGUUGCAGUCAUUCCUAUAUAAAUAUCAUUUAGACUAACAAAAUUUGUAGGGUUUUCAUGGUUAAGUGUAAAUAUAUCGUUGGUUCUUUUUAUUACAGGCAUCUUUAUGAAAUUGGAACACAGUGUUCUCAACAGAGUUUCAGUUUGUGGCUGAACCUUACAAAGAAGUGGCUUUUCUGACUGAAAGAGUAAAUUGAAUUCUGUCAUUAGUCCUAAAGAAUAUGACAUUAGAUAUACUGGUGUGAACAAAUUUGACAUUGAACAUCAUUUCUGUUGUAAUUGACGGGUCUUCAAAUACACAUUCUGUCAAAUAUGCUCUAAGUGGCUCAUAUUGCUCAAGCACCCUAUCAACGCAUUCUUUAAUAGAUAACCAUCUUGUUGUGGCUGGAGAGAGUAUUUUGUGAAUUUUCACUUGAAAAAAAUUUUGGAGCUCUGUAAAUUUGUGUAUUCUCAAAGCACUCCUAUUAAAGUGAUUGCCUAUAUUUCGUAGCAGAUCUUCCACAUGCCUAGGUAAUUUUAACCAUUUUUUUGAUGUAGCUAAAUGUGUCAUAUGACAUGAGCAUCUAAUACAUACUAUAUGUGGAAAUUCUUCCUUUAACUUGGAAAAUACAGAGUUAAACUCUCCAACCAUAACAUUGGUGAUGUCCGAUGAAAACCCUAUAAAAUUUGUUAGUGGAAUAUUCUUUGAAGUUAAACAGUUCUUUAGAAUACCCUAUAAAUCAUUAGCUGUGGACCCAUGAGCCUCGACAAGAUCAAAAAAUGUGUUUUGGUUGAAUUAUUUUCAUAAAUUAUAGUAGUGAAUGCGCAUUGCUUUUUUAUUGAACUAUCAGUAGUUUCAUCCAUAAC